rfam:Bombyx mori DNA, contig: Bm_scaf35_contig21293, strain: p50T/Dazao, build 2, whole genome shotgun sequence.
UUUAGUCAAAUUUGUAUGGAGUUGGAACGUUUGCCUACGCUUGCCGCUAGGGGGGGCACUGUUCCAACUGCUUACAAAUUUGAGUUA